rnacentral:rRNA from 1 species
UACGAAGGGGGCUAGCGUUGCUCGGAAUUACUGGGCGUAAAGCGCACGUAGGCGGUCUUUUAAGUCAGGGGUGAAAUCCUGGAGCUCAACUCCAGAACUGCCUUUGAUACUGGGGAUCUCGAGUCCGGAAGAGGUGAGUGGAACUCCGAGUGUAGAGGUGAAAUUCGUAGAUAUUCGGAAGAACACCGGUGGCGAAGGCGGUUCUCUGGGCAUUACCUGACGCUGAGGAGCGAAAGUGUGGGGAGCGAACAGG